GAGUAUACAGCGUGCCGAUACAUGCAGUCGAACGAACUUCCGUUAAUUGAUUAUGACGUACUUGUACUGAUUGAGAUUUUAACACGAAGUGAGUGGCGAACGGGUGAGUAACACGUGGGUAACCUGCCCAGAAGUAGGGGAUAACACCUGGAAACAGAUGCUAAUACCGUAUAACAGAGAAAACCGCAUGGUUUUCUUUUAAAAGAUGGCUCUGCUAUCACUUCUGGAUGGACCCGCGGCGUAUUAGCUAGUUGGUGAGGUAAAGGCUCACCAAGGCAGUGAUACGUAGCCGACCUGAGAGGGUAAUCGGCCACAUUGGGACUGAGACACGGCCCAGACUCCUACGGGAGGCAGCAGUAGGGAAUCUUCCACAAUGGACGCAAGUCUGAUGGAGCAACGCCGCGUGAGUGAAGAAGGGUUUCGGCUCGUAAAGCUCUGUUGUUAAAGAAGAACGUGGGUAAGAGUAACUGUUUACCCAGUGACGGUAUUUAACCAGAAAGCCACGGCUAACUACGUGCCAGCAGCCGCGGUAAUACGUAGGUGGCAAGCGUUAUCCGGAUUUAUUGGGCGUAAAGCGAGCGCAGGCGGUCUUUUAAGUCUAAUGUGAAAGCCUUCGGCUCAACCGAAGAAGUGCAUUGGAAACUGGGAGACUUGAGUGCAGAAGAGGACAGUGGAACUCCAUGUGUAGCGGUGAAAUGCGUAGAUAUAUGGAAGAACACCAGUGGCGAAGGCGGCUGUCUGGUCUGCAACUGACGCUGAGGCUCGAAAGCAUGGGUAGCGAACAGGAUUAGAUACCCUGGUAGUCCAUGCCGUAAACGAUGAUUACUAAGUGUUGGAGGGUUUCCGCCCUUCAGUGCUGCAGCUAACGCAUUAAGUAAUCCGCCUGGGGAGUACGACCGCAAGGUUGAAACUCAAAGAAUUGACGGGGGCCCGCACAAGCGGUGGAGCAUGUGGUUUAAUUCGAAGCUACGCGAAGAACCUUACCAGGUCUUGACAUCUUCUGACAGUCUAAGAGAUCAGAUGUUCCUUCGGGGACAGUAUUGACCAGAUGAUGCAUGAUUGACGUCAGCUCGUGUCGUGAGCAU
rnacentral:rRNA from 1 species